CGCAUGCAGGUAAACGGGUGGCGUCAAGCUGCAAGCCCGGAGGAUUCAGCUGGCUAGGAUGUUGUGUAUGCGCCUGGCGCAUCUAUCAGCCGGAGUAAGAUGUGAUAGUCCACUGGUAAACGGUGGGCCCGGCCGCAAGGUUGGGAUAUGUGUACCGGGCGGAAGCCGGAGCAUGCUAUUCGUCUGUUGGGCUGUCUAGUCAGUGCACUUUCUCUGUGGUGAACACCACGACCGGUGGAAUUGCCAGUCUGCUGUAGUCAAGUCGUAUUCAGUCGGUUCUUGUAGCCAACUGGGUGCGAUCACAGGCAAACUCAGUAAACGGCGUAGGGGUGUCUCGGCAUCCUUGCGUGUUAUCGGCUGCUGGUUGUCAACGGGCCUGCCUGAUGAUUGUUGUAACCGUCAUUGGGUGGUCUGGUGGGCUAUGGUGGUAAGAAUAACUGUGCAAGGCAUCGGAGUUCUCGGCCUCAAAUGCAUCCUGCAUACACGUUACAAGUGGAGUGGGGUGCCAUUGCAGCCUGCCUGUUGUUGGGUCUGAUUGUCGUGUCGCCUGCGCAAAGUGGGCCCGGCAGUGGCCUGAUGCGGGAUGGGUUGUGGAUGGUGCUUCCUGUGUAGGGUGCGGUGGGUCAAAUAGUCAG
rnacentral:rRNA from 1 species